GCCAACGAUCAUACUACGUUGAAUACACCAGUUCUUGUCAGAUCACUGAAGUUAACCAACGUAGGGCGUGGUCAGUACUUGGAUGGGUGACCGCUUGGGAACACCACGUAUCGUUGGCUCAU
rnacentral:rRNA from 1 species